rnacentral:hammerhead_ribozyme from 1 species
AUUCAGGUGACGAGUUCCAAAUACGACGUAACGCGCGUCAAACUGAAU